GACGAACGCUGGCGGCGUGCUUAACACAUGCAAGUCGAACGGAAAGGCCCUGCUUUUGUGGGGUGCUCGAGUGGCGAACGGGUGUGUAACACGUGAGUAACCUGCCCUUGACUUUGGGAUAACUUCAGGAAACUGGGGCUAAUACCGGAUAGGAUCUCCUGCUGCAUGGUGGGGGUUGGACAGUUUCGGCGGUUGGGGAUGGACUCGCGGCUUAUCAGCUUGUUGGUGGGGUAGUGGCUUACCAAGGCUUUGACGGGUAGCCGGCAUGAGAGGGUGACCGGCCACAUUGGGACUGAGAUACGGCCCAGACUCCAACGGGAGGCAGCAGUGGGGAAUAGUGCACAAUGGGAGGAAGCCUGAUGCAGCAACGCCGCGUGCGGGAUGACGGCAAUCGGGUUGUAAACCGCUUUCGCCUGUGACGAAGCGUGAGUGACGGUAAUGGGUAAAGAAGCACCGGCUAACUACGUG
rnacentral:rRNA from 1 species